UGUUGGGAACGACCGAGGAACUGGUACCGCGGAGCCUUUCCGGGGAAGUGGUAGGAGCCUCAGGGUGUUGGGAAUCGCCAUCUGGUGGACACAGUUAAUGUAAACACGAUUUCCUGUAACUCUUGGAAUUCUCAAACCCAGGAUUCCUGGACACUGCGGAGACGCCGACCGCGUCCUUCUGAUUGUCGGGGCGCCCGCUCAACGGUAGCCCUUGGGAAUUAUAGUGAAAGAAACACUUAUAAGUGCGGCCUCGGACUGGCUGGGGAGCCGACUCUACCAGCGGCCGCUCCGGCUCAGAAUCGGGCCGUCCACUGCUUGUUUCCUAGGUGAGGAAGGGCACCCGUGCCUCGGAGACGCGUUUGAGAAGUAGAACCAGGCUCUAGGUGGCUAACUGCGCCACCUGGUGGACAACGUUAGUGUAACCAUGAUUCCUUAAAACUCCGGGAAUUUUAAAAACCUAGAUUUCUCAGACUCUGCAGGGCUGCCCACCGCGCCCUUCCGCAGGUCGGAACGCACACCCCAGUAGCCUCUUGGAAAUAAUGAGGAAAAAAUGUUCGAAGUGUGACGUACAUCAAGCGCGAGAGCCUGGACUUCAACUCCCAGAGGGCGUUGGACUUGAACUCUCAGAACGCGUUGCUCCCAGAGAGAGGAAGGGACAGAGGAAAGAAGAGAAACAUCGACUGCCUCCCAUCUAUACCUGGACCAGGGAUCAGAUGCACAAACUAGGAGGAGAAGGCUCCCGAGGAAGGCGAGGCUGCAUUUGACUCCGUGGUGGGACCUAGGCAUUCCCCACUCGGAAUCCCGACCGUCCACAUCACAGCAGGCAACGGAUGCAGGUCCGGCUGGCUCCAUUUUCUGAAGCGGCGGGCCGGCUAUCUCUCCGACUGUGCCCCCAAGAGACAGAAGACUCUGACCACUGGCGCCAAGGACAGGACCUCACCAACCCUCUUCUCUGACCCUGGAACCCCCAACUCUUUACCCGGCCCCGCCCACUCGGCCCUGCCCCGCCUCCCCAGAUGACAGCCGCCGUGGGCCCCAAGGAACAAAACGGACUUGUCACAGUCACGCGCGGUUGGGUACACACCAGUGCCGGAGACCCAGAGAGGACGCCGGAUCCCCUCCUAGCUCGACCUCCGCCGACCUGGCCACCCCCGAUCUCGCUUACGGGCAGAACGAUAGCACAAAGGCCUCUCCGCCACCAGCCAGGACUGCGCCUGUGCCAGUAGUCGGCGAACUACAGCUCCCAGAGGGUGGCGCGCUCAUAUCCGGUUACUCUAAUCGCCCCGCCCCCACAUGGGACGCCGGAAGAGCACCGGCAAGGUCAGAGCGCGAGAUUGGCCUCGUGGACUCAGCUGGUCCACCACGCCCGGGACCACUCACCGUUAGAUGGCGUCACAAAGGCCGCGGCCAUCGUGUCAGCGGGGCUCG